AUUGAACGCUGGCGGCAGGCCUAACACAUGCAAGUCGAGCGGAUGAAGGUAGCUUGCUAUCUGAUUCAGCGGCGGACGGGUGAGUAAUGCCUAGGAAUCUGCCUGGUAGUGGGGGACAACGUUUCGAAAGGAACGCUAAUACCGCAUACGUCCUACGGGAGAAAGUGGGGGAUCUUCGGACCUCACGCUAUCAGAUGAGCCUAGGUACGAUUAGCUAGUUGGUGAGGUAAAGGCUCACCGAGGCGACGAUCGUUAACUGGUCUGAGAGGAUGAUCAGUCACACUGGAACUGAGACACGGUCCAGACUCCUACGGGAGGCAGCAGUGGGGAAUAUUGGACAAUGGGCGAAAGCCUGAUCCAGUCAUGCCGCGUGUGUGAAGAAGGUCUUCGGAUUGUAAAGCACUUUAAGUUGGGAGGAAGGGCAGUAAGUUAAUACCUUGCUGUUUUGACGUUACCGACAGAAUAAGCACCGGCUAACUACGUGCCAGCAGCCGCGGUAAAAC
rnacentral:rRNA from 1 species